UUUCUCCUGGCCUUGUUUCCAGGCUUCUUUCUUCUGAUUCCAGGUCAUGGUGCUGGCUGGUACAGGUAUGGCAGGAUGACAUGGUCCCUGGGACAGUCUCCAUGCUCCUGAAAAGUCUUUGCCAAUCCUGAUAACUGCUUGUGUUUGAGGAGGGGAGGUUGUUCCCUUGGUGCCUCUCAGUUGCCCUGUCCAAUGCCUGCACCCUACUAAGUGCAGUAAUCCAGGAAGCAAGGGAGACUGGCAGCUCCAUGGCUCCACCAUGCCCAGCCAUGUCCCCUUCUGUGUGGAG
rnacentral:lncRNA from 1 species